ACACGCAUGACACACUGCAUAUCAAUAAGCGGAGGAAAAGAAACUAACAAGGAUUCCCUUAGUAACGGCGAGUGAAGCGGGAAGAGCUCAAAUUUGAAAUCUUCAAGGUUCUAUCUUGACAAAUUGUAGUUUAUAGAAGUGUUUUCUGUUAGUAGGAGUGGCAAAAGUUCUUUGGAAUAGGACAUCAUAGAGGGUGAGAAUCCCGUAUUUGGUCAUUCUUCUAGCGUUGUGAUACACUUUCAACGAGUCGGAUUGUUUGGGAAUGCAGUCCAAAAUGGGUGGUAAAUUUCAUCUAAAGCUAAAUAUUGGCGAGAGACCGAUAGCGAACAAGUACCGUGAGGGAAAGAUGAAAAGAACUUUGAAAAGAGAGUUAAACAGUACGUGAAAUUGUCAAAAGGGAAGCGUUUGACACCAGUGUUGUUUUUCCGAAAAUCAAUUACGAAUGUUUUAGUUUUUGAGAAGUUAUGACUUCAUCGGCUUGCUUCUCUCUUUAUGAAACUUUCUUAAUGCACUUUUCGGUUAACAAGUCAACAUCAAUUUCUUUUGUUGUAAAAGGGUAUGAGGAAGGUGGCUUUCUUUUCGGAGAAAGUGUUUAUAGCCUUGUACCUCUGCAAUCGGAGAGAUUGAGGUCUGCAGCGUAGAUCCUUCGGGGUUAGAUACAUUUGUGCUAAGUUAUAGCUUUUCAUAGACAACUUGUUGACUAUGUUUAGUCUUGUAGCUUACUCGCUUAUGCUAUUUUACCUACGCUUAGGAUGUUGACGCAUGAGAUAUACGC
rnacentral:rRNA from 1 species